UACGUAGGGUGCGAGCGUUUAAUCGGAAUUACUGGGCGUAAAGCGUGCGCAGGCGGUUGUGCAAGACCGAUGUGAAAUCCCCGGGCUUAACCUGGGAAUGGCAUUGGUGACUGCACGGCUAGAGUGUGUCAGAGGGGGGUAGAAUUCCACGUGUAGCAGUGAAAUGCGUAGAGAUGUGGAGGAAUACCGAUGGCGAAGGCAGCCCCCCUGGGAUAACACUGACGCUCAUGCACGAAAGCGUGGGGAGCAAACAGG
rnacentral:rRNA from 1 species